rnacentral:rRNA from 1 species
UUCAGCCAUACCACCCUGAAUGCGCCCAAUCUUGUCUGAUCUUGAAAGCUAAGCGGGGUUGGGCCUGGUUAGUACUUGAAUGGGAGACUGGAGGGCAAUCCUUUGUAUAGCUAAGA